UUUUUGUUCAACCCCCAUUUUGGAACUCAAAAAAAGCACGCGCUUUUCCUUUACUAUUCUUCUUCGUUUGGCGUCUGUUUUAACCAGCUUUAAAUCUUAUUGUGAGAAAACGAAGCAAUAUUCUACUUUGUCGGGCGUUUACCAGAGCGUUUACCAGCAUUAACCAGGUUGCUACAUACAUAUCUACAAAACCAAGACCAGACAUAAUUACAAAUUCCAAGAAAAUUACAAAAUUUUAACAAUCAUUGGCUAUGCAUCUAAAAAAUUAAACUACCAGCUACAACAAUCAUCGGCUAGACAUAGACAUCUGAAAACUACCAGCUACUACAAUUAUCGGCUAGACAACUGAAAACUUACUAGCU